rnacentral:rRNA from 1 species
CGGGGGGAGCAAGCGUUGUUCGGAUUUACUGGGCGUAAAGGGCGCGUAGGCGGCCACCGCAAGUCGACUGUGAAAUCUCCGGGCUUAACCCGGAAAGGUCAGCCGAUACUGCGGGGCUAGAGUGCAGAAGGGGCAACUGGAAUUCUCGGUGUAGCGGUGGAAUGCGUAGAUAUCGAGAGGAACACCUGCGGCGAAGGCGGGUUGCUGGGCUGACACUGACGCUGAUGCGCGAAAGCUAGGGGAGCGAACGGGAUUAGAUACCCCGGUAGUCCUAGCCUUAAACGAUGAAUGCUUGGUGUCUGGGGUUUUAUAGUCCCCGGGUGCCGUCGCUAACGCUUUAAGCAUUCCGCCUGGGGAGUACGGUCGCAAGACUAG